AUUGAACGCUGGCGGAAUGCUUUACACAUGCAAGUCGAACGGCAGCAUAGGUGCUUGCACCUGAUGGCGAGUGGCGAACGGGUGAGUAAUACAUCGGAACGUGCCCAGUCGUGGGGGAUAACGUAGCGAAAGUUACGCUAAUACCGCAUACGAUCUACGGAUGAAAGCGGGGGACCGUAAGGCCUCGCGCGAUUGGAGCGGCCGAUGUUAGAUUAGGUAGUUGGUGGGGUAAAGGCUCACCAAGCCGACGAUCUAUAGCUGGUCUGAGAGGAUGAUCAGCCACACUGGGACUGAGACACGGCCCAGACUCCUACGGGAGGCAGCAGUGGGGAAUUUUGGACAAUGGGCGCAAGCCUGAUCCAGCCAUUCCGCGUGCAGGACGAAGGCCUUCGGGUUGUAAACUGCUUUUGUACAGAACGAAAAGCCUUGGGUUAAUACCCUGAGGUCAUGACGGUACUGUAAGAAUAAGCACCGGCUAACUACGUACG
rnacentral:rRNA from 1 species